rnacentral:rRNA from 1 species
UACGUAGUGGGCAAGCGUUGUUCGGAAUUCCUGGGCGUAAAUGGCGCGUCGGCGGCACGGCAAGUCGGGAGUGAAAGCCCGGGGCUCAACCCCGGAACGUCUUUCGAAACUGCCGAGCUAGAGUGCGGAAGGGGCAGCUGGAAUUCCCAGUGUAGCGGUGAAAUGCGUAGAUAUUGGGAAGAACACCUGAGGCGAAGGCGGGUUGCUGGGCCGACACUGACGCUGAGGCGCGAAAGCCAGGGGAGCGAACGGG